rnacentral:lncRNA from 1 species
AUAUCUUAAGACUCGGAGCCACACUGGUUAAGGAAUAAUGAAGACUUUGGCACUGCCCCAGCCCCUCCCCCUUCCCUUCCUUAAUUUUCUCCACUACCUCCACAUCUCCUCUUUCCAACUCUACAUUUGUUAAUGGGUUUUGUUCUCUUUCUCCCACAAAAAAAAAUCAUGCUCCACAUAGGCAAGGGUUUUGCUCUGCGUUUCUCUCUGCCGAAUUCCAGAUCCCAGUGGAUGCUCAAAAAAACACAGGUGGAGGGACAUCUGAGCACUUCCUCCUCUUGUUCUUUUUCUGCCGUUUUGUCUACUGUGAGGGGGGUGGGGAGGCUUGCCUGGGACAGAGCAUCUGGGUCCACUCAAGAGACUCUGCUUUCCUCUUGUGCCUUUAGCAGACAGAUGACGCAGCACCACCGGACGGCCAGCCCCAGACGCAGCCUUCUGAAAACACAGAAAACAAGUCUCAGCCCAAGCGCCU